rnacentral:lncRNA from 1 species
AUCCUAAUAGAUGAUGUGGCAGUAGAGGAGAAUAGAAUAACUCAACUUUAUAAUAUUAUAGAUAAAUAAAUAUUUAAAUAAUAAAACUCUAAAAAAACAAAAAAAUAAUUUUUUAAAUUUUUUCGAAUUAUACUAUUUCGAAAUUCAAACCCAAAACUUUAAAACUCACCUCUAAACCCUAAACCAUCAAUCCUAAACCCUAUAUUUUUAAAAAAGAUACAGACCCUAAACCCUAAA